rnacentral:lncRNA from 1 species
AACUCGCUGAUUCAUCCACUUUGGCUUUUGUGUGGUGUCUUCACUGAGUAAAGCCAAGACAGAGGAAUGGAGCCACAGUCUCCUACUGAGUCCACAUCAUCACCAGUGCAAACACAUGUAGCAAAGGAUUUCAGUUUUAUUUACUAUUUCAGUCUGUGGAGUAACCAACUGGGGAGACGUUUGAAGGAAGGGCUGCUGUGAUUCUGAUCUUAGAUGCCUUCUUGAAGUCAAUCACAAAAGCAGGUAACUUUCUGUUCCUGCUGAUGUAAUUUUUUUUGUUUCGUUUUGUUUUCCACAUAUCCUUUAUGGUUCUAUUAAUGGCUGUGACCUCAGAUGCUCAAAUGUGGCCAGUGUGAAUCAAUCUCUUCCUGCUGCCUGCUGAUCAAGAUGGAAAACUCCCAGUCACCCAGGCAGCAUCAAGUCUGCCUACACGCAGCGAUGCUUCCCACCGUGGAAACGGUGGACUAAACUGUAAACUGUAAACCAGCCCCACUUAAAUAUUUUCUUU